GACGAACGCUGGCGGCGUGCCUAAUACAUGCAAGUAGAACGCUGAAGAGAGGAGCUUGCUCUUCUUGGAUGAGUUGCGAACGGGUGAGUAACGCGUAGGUAACCUGCCUGGUAGCGGGGGAUAACUAUUGGAAACGAUAGCUAAUACCGCAUGAAAUUGAUUAUUGCAUGAUAAUUAAUUGAAAGAUGCAAUUGCAUCACUACCAGAUGGACCUGCGUUGUAUUAGCUAGUUGGUGAGGUAACGGCUCACCAAGGCGACGAUACAUAGCCGACCUGAGAGGGUGAUCGGCCACACUGGGACUGAGACACGGCCCAGACUCCUACGGGAGGCAGCAGUAGGGAAUCUUCGGCAAUGGGGGGAACCCUGACCGAGCAACGCCGCGUGAGUGAAGAAGGUUUUCGGAUCGUAAAGCUCUGUUGUAAGAGAAGAACGGGUGUGAGAGUGGAAAGUUCACACUGUGACGGUAUCUUACCAGAAAGGGACGGCUAACUACGUGCCAGCAGCCGCGGUAAUACGUAGGUCCCGAGCGUUGUCCGGAUUUAUUGGGCGUAAAGCGAGCGCAGGCGGUUAGAUAAGUCUGAAGUUAAAGGCUGUGGCUUAACCAUAGUAUGCUUUGGAAACUGUUUAACUUGAGUGCAGAAGGGGAGAGUGGAAUUCCAUGUGUAGCGGUGAAAUGCGUAGAUAUAUGGAGGAACACCGGUGGCGAAAGCGGCUCUCUGGUCUGUAACUGACGCUGAGGCUCGAAAGCGUGGGGAGCAAACAGGAUUAGAUACCCUGGUAGUCCACGCCGUAAACGAUGAGUGCUAGGUGUUAGGCCCUUUCCGGGGCUUAGUGCCGCAGCUAACGCAUUAAGCACUCCGCCUGGGGAGUACGACCGCAAGGUUGAAACUCAAAGGAAUUGACGGGGGCCCGCACAAGCGGUGGAGCAUGUGGUUUAAUUCGAAGCAACGCGAAGAACCUUACCAGGUCUUGACAUCCCUCUGACCGCUCUAGAGAUAGAGUUUUCCUUCGGGACAGAGGUGACAGGUGGUGCAUGGUUGUCGUCAACUCGUGUCGUGAGAUGUUGGGUUAAGUCCCGCGACGAGCGCAACCCCUAUUGUUAGUUGCCAUCAUUCAGUUGGGCACUCUAGCGAGACUGCCGGUAAUAAACCGGAGGAAGGUGGGGAUGACGUCAAAUCAUCAUGCCCCUUAUGACCUGGGCUACACACGUGCUACAAUGGCUGGUACAACGAGUCGCAAGCCGGUGACGGCAAGCUAAUCUCUGAAAGCCAGUCUCAGUUCGGAUUGUAGGCUGCAACUCGCCUACAUGAAGUCGGAAUCGCUAGUAAUCGCGGAUCAGCACGCCGCGGUGAAUACGUUCCCGGGCCU
rnacentral:rRNA from 1 species